rnacentral:snoRNA from 1 species
UGUUUUCUUUCUUUUUUAUCACAAGCUGUGUAGAAAGAGGAGACAACUAAACCUACCCCUGUACACCUCAACCCAGGCGCCGUGCCUGGUCUGUAGUGUGAAUGGAAAAAGAAAU